AGCCCAACAGCUAGCCCACCUAUUAAAACCAAAACACCCCUAUCAAUACCCCUAAAUACCGUUCUCAUACAAGCCAAAACAUUUUACCCCUCUAGUAUAGGCGAUAGAAACAGAAAAAUGGAGCAACAGAAAAAGUACCGCAAGGGAAAGCUGAAAGAGAAAUGAAACAAUUCAGUAAAGCGCUAAAAAGCAAAGAUUAUUUCUUGUACCUUUUGCAUCAUGGUUUAGCCAGCCCCAUUCAAGCAAAAAGAAUUGUAGUUUGAAACCCCGAAACCAAGUGAGCUACUCCAAGACAGUCUGUCUAAAAGGACCAACCCGUCUCUGUGGCAAAAGAGUGGGAAGAGCUUCGAGUAGAGGUGAUAAACCUACCGAACUUGGUGAUAGCUGGUUGUCUGAGAAAUGAAUAGAAGUUCAGCACUUUAAGUUCUUUAAUCACACCUCCCAGUUCAAGAUAAAAGAAAUUUAAGAAGUUAGUCAAAAGAGGUACAGCUCUUUUGACAAAAGAAACAACUUUUUAAGGCGGAUAAAGCUCAAACUAAGAAUAAGGGCCAGCACACUAGUGGGCUUAAAAGCAGCCAUCUAAAUAAAAAGCGUUAAAGCUUAAGUGCACCCCCUUCCCCUUUAAUUUAGAUACCCCUAUCUUAAUCCCCUAAACAUAUCAGACCUCCUUAUGCCCCCAUAAAGGUGUUAAUGCUAGAAUGAGUAAUAAGAGAUAAGAAUCUCUCCUAACACAAGUGUAAGUCAGAACGAACUAAUCGCUGACAAUUAACGGCCCCAAAAAGAGGGUACUGGCCUAAAAAUAGAUAACUAGAAAAUCUCCCACACCACAACCGUUAACCUUACACAAGAGUGUUCCCCAGGAAAGACUAAAAGGGGGGGAAGGAACUCGGCAAAAGUAAGCCUCGCCUGUUUACCAAAAACACCGCCUCCUGAACACCCCUUAUAGGAGGUCCCGCCUGCCCUGUGAUAAAAUAUUUAACGGCCGCGGUAUUUUGACCGUGCAAAGGUAGCGCAAUCACUUGUCUUUUAAAUGGAGACCUGUAUGAAUGGCAUAACGAGGGCUUAACUGUCUCCCUCCCCCAGUCAAUGAAAUUGAUUUUUCCGUGCAGAAGCGGGAAUAGUACCAUAAGACGAGAAGACCCUGUGGAGCUUUAGACAAUAAAUAGCUCCUGUAAAGACACCUCACCAAACGAGAUAAAACAAACGGAUGACUAUUUUGCUGUCUUUGGUUGGGGCGACCGCGGGGUAACAAAGAACCCCCAUGUGGAAUAAGAACAACCUUCUUUAAACCAAGAGCAUCUCUUCAAAGUAACAGAACAUCUGACCUAAUAUGACCCGGCUUUGCCGAUCAACGGAAAAAGUUACCCCAGGGAUAACAGCGCAAUCCUCUCCCAGAGCCCAUAUCGACGAGGGGGUUUACGACCUCGAUGUUGGAUCAGGACAUCCUAAUGGUGCAGCCGCUAUUAAGGGUUCGUUUGUUCAACGAUUAAAGUCCUACGUGAUCUGAGUUCAGACCGGAGUAAUCCAGGUCAGUUUCUAUCUAUGACAUGCUCUUUUCCAGUACGAAAGGACCGAAAAGAUAAGGCCAAUACUAAAAGUAAGCCUUACCUCCUACCUAAUGAAACCAGCUAAACUAGGCGAAGAGGCAUAACUUCCCACCACAGAUAAUGGUGU
rnacentral:rRNA from 1 species